UACGUAGGGAGCAAGCGUUGUCCGGAAUCAUUGGGCGUAAAGAGCUCGUAGGCGGCUUGUCACGUCGAUUGUGAAAGCCCGAGGCUUAACCUCGGGUCUGCAGUCGAUACGGGCUAGCUAGAGUGUGGUAGGGGAGAUCGGAAUUCCUGGUGUAGCGGUGAAAUGCGCAGAUAUCAGGAGGAACACCGGUGGCGAAGGCGGAUCUCUGGGCCAUUACUGACGCUGAGGAGCGAAAGCGUGGGGAGCGAACAGG
rnacentral:rRNA from 1 species